AAAACCAUCAAACCCCACCGUGCCCAUCCCCCGAAAACCCCACAAACCACCGAGCCCCAGAACGAUAUCCUCCGAUCCCCCAAACCACCGCCUCCCAGUCUCAACCAUGGCGUUCCGGCUGAGCAACAACCUGAUCGGGAUCCUGAACGCGGUGACCUUCCUUCUCUCCAUCCCGAUCCUGGGCGCGGGCAUUUGGCUGGGCCACCGCGCCGACGGCACCGAGUGCGAGCGCUACCUCUCGGCGCCCGUAAUCGCGCUGGGGGUCUUCCUCCUCGUCGUCUCCAUCGCGGGGCUCGUCGGCGCCUGCUGCCGCGUCACCUGGCUGCUCUGGGUCUACCUCCUCGCCAUGUUCGUCCUCAUCGUCGCCCUCUUCUGCUUCACCGUCUUCGCCUUCGUCGUCACCAACCGGGGCGCCGGGGAGGCCGUGUCGGGCCGGGGGUACAAGGAGUACAGGCUUGGGGACUACUCCAACUGGCUGCAGAAGCGGGUGGAGAACAACAAGAACUGGAACAGGAUCAGGAGCUGCCUCCAGGGCUCCAAGGUCUGCAAGAACCUGCAGGACAAGAAGGAGUCGGUCACCGACUUCAUGCGUUCCGACCUCUCCCCGAUCGAGGUACUUGCUUAAUUACGUGAAAAAUGCAUUUUUCUUCCCUUAAUCUUCAGUCUCAGUUUUUUUUUUGACAAAUCACCAAGACAGAUUCUAAAACAAACUCUAUCUAUCUGUAGCCGGCGUUUUGUCUUACAGAAAAAGAAUACUUCUUUUUCAUUCACGUGUCAUUCAUACUUUAGUGGUCGCGAAUUGCGAUGUGACUUUGGGAGGAUAGUAGUAAUGCCAAAAGACUUUGAAGAAACGGUAGCUUGUGAAACGCAAAACCUUAUCUUAGGCCCGGCUGAUGGUUACUUGUACGGUUGUGCAUCUCGAUCAGACGUACACAAUUUGGAAUUCUGUCUAAAAAUGCAUUGGGCUUAGCGUUGAUAUUGUCAACGGAUUACUCCUAUUUUAUAGUGACAUAUCUUCGGUCCAUAUCAACCUUUACUACCUGCUCUGAAGUCUGAACUGCUCCCGAUGCUCUGACCGCUGCAUUAUUGAAGGAAGAAUUUUCGUUCAUCGCACAUGCUUGCAUUUCAACGCUCUGGUGCACUUGCACUCAACUUUUAGGUCGCGUAACCCAAUCGUUUCACGAAACGGCUCCACCUGAAACUAUCAUAGGGGGUGUUUGGAUGCGAGGUACUAAACUUUAGGAGAGGUCACAUCGGAUGUUCGGACGCUAAUUAGAAGGACUAAACAUGAGUUAAUUAUAAAACUAACUGCAGAACCCCUAUACUAAUUCGCGAGACGAAUCUAUUAAACAUAAUUAAUCCAUCAUUAGCAAAUGGUUACUGUAGCACCACAUGGACUAAUUAGGCUUAAUAGAUUCGUCUCGCAAAUUAUACUCCAUCUGUGCAAUUAGUUUUGUAAUUAGCUUAUGUUUAAUACUCCUAAUUAGUAUCAAACAUCCGAUGUGAUAGGUACUAAAGUUUAUGAGGGAGUUGCCAAACACCCCCAUAAACAACUGAAACUGUUUUAUUUACUUGUAGUAUUUACCUAAACAACGUCAUGUGAUGUUGAAAGUUCCCAGUCAUGAGUAUUGAGUAGUAGCCCUGCAUAUGUGCUGCUCUGUUUCAAAGGCUCAUCGCUGUUCUUGUUGCUCGUGCAGUCUGGGUGCUGCAAGCCCCCCACCAGCUGCGGCUUCACCUACGUCAGCGGCACGGACUGGACCAAGACCACCGCCACCAACUCGUCGUCGGAUCCGGACUGCAACACCUGGAGCAACGAUGCGCUCUGCUACGACUGCCAGUCGUGCAAGGCCGGCGUGGUGGCCACCGUCAAGCGGGACUGGAAGCGCACCGCCAUCGUCUGCAUCGUCUUCCUCGUCUUCAUCAUCAUCGUCUACUCCAUCGGAUGCUGCGCUUUCAGGAAUAACCGCAGGGACAAUGCCUACCACGGCGGCUGGAAGGGCGGGUACGCCUGAUCUGGUCGAUCCACCGUCGUUUCGGAGCCUAGCAGACGAGAUCCGCUGCUCGAUUGGUCGAGCGUGCCAGCUCAGUGCUCUGCUCUCGCUGUCCUGCGGUCGCUUUCGUCCUAUAUGUUUAGGCUUCAUCUAGCUCUGUACAGUCGAGGUUGUUACAGCUUCUUAUCGUCUGCUAGUCACUUUGUUAUGAUCUGAUCACUGGUCAGCAGUAGGUUUUGUACAUGCUGUUCGUUGAUUUUGAUAUACUGCUCUAUAUUCGUAUGUGGAUGC
rnacentral:lncRNA from 1 species